GCACAAAAAUCAGAUGUUCAUGUAUAUGUGGCAUCUUGGCAAAUCAAAGUCAUGUGUAGGCUGAAAGCUUUGAAAGAGCAGAAGAAGCUGGUCUACAGGGAAAAACUGAAAAAUGAAUGGACCAGAGACCCUGAGAAUCAGAGCUGAGAUGCCAUGGGGCAUGAUGACUGACAAAGGAAAAGACCAUCAGCUUCCCCCCUAAUUUACAGUUGUAGGUACUAGAAGAUUUAAGGAAAGAUACCUAAUUUUGGAGAUGAUUGAGGAAAAGACCCCUCCGAGAGCAACUGAAGAUCUAGAAUUGUCUUAGUGCUUUAGAGCUGCCAUAACAAAAUGCCACAAACUGAGUGGCUUAAACAGCAAAUAUGUCUUGUCUCACAGUUGUGGAGACUGGGAGUCUGAGAUCAAGGUGUCAAUCAAGCAAUGCUCCCUCUGAAGGCAGUAGAGAGGAUCUUUUCCAGAAAUCUCUCCUAGCUCUGGUAGUUUCAUGACUUGUGGCAAUAAACUCCCCUUUUCUCAGAA